UUGGUUAUUGAGAAGAUGUUUAAAGAUUUUAGCCUGUUUGACCCCUGAGGCCUUGAAUGUAGGUCAAGAUUAUUCAUUUGAAGAAAUUGGUUGCACUUCACCCUAGUUUGCCAAUAUCAGGUCUCUGUCCUCAUGGUUAUUGAGAAAUUGUUUAAAUGAAAAAGCUUAUGUUAGAUGAUCAGAUAGACAGCUGGUUGACGCACGCCACACCAUGGCAUAAGGUCACUCGACUUCUGGCAGGUAUAAAUAUAAGACAACAACAAUUUAAGGCCAUUGAAUUUUAUUUCGCCAUUUGUAUUUUUUUUUAUUUUUAGUUUUUCUCUGACAAUUCAGUAUCUAUAUAUAAUUACAGAAUCUAUAAAUAUCACAUAACGACACUAAACUCGGUCACGGUGUAAAAAUUACAACCUAUAGAUAUCUCCAGUCAUUCACAGCCGUCAAAUCAAUUCUAUCAGUAAAGUAUAAACCGCCGGAUAACAGUCCAUCACACAAAAUCGUCACAUCAAUCAAUUUAGUUUUAAAGGUCAAAGCUAUGUAUUAAAUGUCAAAGAUAUCUGUCAUAAAAUAUCUCAAAGCUAUGUAUUAUAUGUGUCAAAGAUAUCUGUCAUAAAAUAUCCAUCUUAUAAAUCUGCGGAAAUCAUACACCAAAUAUCCCCUAAAUCUGUUGAAUCUGUCACGUAAAAUCAAAUAUGCUUCAAUAUGGUGUCCUGUUAUCUCUAAUGUGCAUCAAAACAUCUUGCUUCAAAUCCAUUUGUUCUGUUAGCUGUUUAUCAUAUACCCAAGUUCUCAGCUAUUUAUCUUCUUAAAAUUAUCAUAAAGGUUUAAAAGUUAUAUGUCACUAAAAUCCAUGUUACCAUGUUCAUAUUGGUAGAUUUGCAUAAUGUCGAAUACAAGUCACCACGCAUGCCAUCCGGGUUGUCCAGAUUUUCCACAUGCUCUAUUAGGGAGAAUUACAGUUCAAACCGGUCUUACAGAAUCUACUCGACUGGAAUUCACAAACCUCUCUAAAAAUUUAAUUUAUGCAAACCGAUACAUUCUAAUAAGUGCCAUGCCCAUGCUUAUUAUGGGGACCUCAUACAAUGAAAACAAAAACAAAACCGAAAAGAUUUUAAGUACAACAGUACUGAACUCGCAACGAAUUAUACCACUGUCCAUCACAACUCACUUCACACUUCUCUAAACUGACAUUUUCGACUUGUUAUAAAAGUUUUUUUUCUGAAUUUAUUUUCAUACAGUUUAAUAUAAAUGAUACUUAGUGUUGCCUUUUGCUACAUCGUUAUGCCCCAAUUUAUCCCUUAGGUCUGAAGAGUUAUCAAGUCACAGCGUUUCUGUAAUAGAUAGAUCUAUCAGCAAAUCUAUUCAUUUUAGUGUUACUUAAAAAAAGUGGUCUUUUACGUUGGUGAGGUAUUGGUCAACAAAUAACCUUUGCUGUUGUUAAAAAGGCAAAAUACUCCAAGAUGAAAUAGAACUAUGUGUCCCAGUCAUUAAUUACAUUAUAUCAUAAAUAUUGUUAUACACAGUGAAGUUUCUUCAGUAACUCUAAGGGCUGGUCAGUCAGGAGUACUGGCGUUCAUUUAACUGGUAGAUCUGUCUGUCUUUCUGUCAACCGCAGUCAAUAUGACCAAUUAUUGUUAUUCAGUCGUCUGGGCCAUCAUACAUGGCAGCAUUUGUCGUGAUGUCCGAGUCAAGCUUAAGAUUGGUUGAUCACAGGGACUUAUAUAUACAAUGUACUAGGUUAAGUGUUGGGUUUAGUUUACGAUCCAAUAUUUUUCUGGAAGUCUGAACCAUGACAUAGGUUAAGGUUGGCUUGUCAUGGGGACUAAUACAUAUAUAGGUUAAAGUCGGUCAGUCAUGGGGACUAAUAUAUAGGUUAAGGUCGGUCAGCCAUGGGGACUAAUAUAUAGGUUAAGGUCGGUCAGCCAUGGGGACUAAUAUAUAGGUUAAGGUCGGUCAGCCAUGGGGACUAAUAUAUAGGUUAAGGUCGGUCAGUCAUGGAGACUAAUAUAUAGGUUAAGGUCGGUCAGACAUGGAGACUAAUAUAUAGGUUAAGGUCGGUCAGCCAUGGGGACUAAUAUAUAGGUUAAGGUCGGUCAGGCAUGAGGACUAAUAUAUAGGUUAAGGUCGGUCAGACAUGGAGACUAAUAUAUAGGUUAAGGUCGGUCAGCCAUGGAGACUAAUAUAUAGGUUAAGGUCGGUCAGACAUGGAGACUAAUAUAUAGGUUAAGGUCGGUCAGCCAUGGGGACUAAUAUAUAGGUUAAGGUCGGUCAGCCAUGGGGACUAAUAUAUAGGUUAAGUCUAUAUUUAGUCUUUGAUCUGUCAGUCAUGUAUGUAACUUUUCCAUCAUCCAACAAAAUAUACACUGUCUAUAUAUCAACACUCUAUUUUCAAAAAGAAGCAUCCAUACCACUAAACAACAAACAAGCACUACUCAACAUAAUAACAUAUUUGGCUCCGUUUUAUUACAGUGUAAUUCUAACUACUGGCUCUAUAGCUCACUAUAGUCUCGGGAUGAAGUCUGGUGUUUAAAGUACCACGUUCCAGCUCUUCCUUCAAUCUUAAGAUAUACAUAGUUUUGACGAAAUAUAAUAAUCCUAGAUUGAUAUCAAAGCCUGUCUUUGUUUUCGUAACAUAUGAAUUAUGACAAUAUUACAAAAAUACUUUAAAUGAUACAAUAUAUCCUAAUGAUGAUAUAUGUGAGAAUCAAUACUGUAGUUUUACAUAAUUGCGAUUAAAACCGGGAAACUACAAACUGAUUAAGGGGAAUCUCUAAUGCGGUUCUCCACUCCCUAUAUGGUAAUGGGCCGCGGAAAAUAUGUAAUCCACCCGUACAUAAACUGGACUGUUUUCUAAGAGCGGAGGACUCCCAAUCAAAGCCAUGCACCAGAAGACCAAAGUCGACCAGGGAAAAAGGUUGGUUUGUUUUCUAUUCUUAGAUGUUUAUUAGUAAAUACAUAUUUUACUGAUGAAUUUUUGACGUAAAUGAGCAGCUUCGACCGAUAUUAUAUGAAAACAAAAACACCAAGAGGCUUUGAGUUACGUUUGAUUUAGUGUAAAUAGUUGAAUAUUGAUACAGAUUCCCUAUUGUCGUGUGUACAUGUAAUAACCAUUACAUUAUGAUCUCAAUUAAUGCACACUUUAUAUCCAGAUAUCAAAAUAUAGAGGCAUGAAGAUAAGACUUUCACAAGCUUGUAAGUGUUGAAAAUAUUUUUGUGCAUUUCAUAGCUAGAAAUCAACUGGCAUGAAAAUGAAAAGAUUUUUACAAGCCUGAAAGUGUUGAAGACAUGUAUGACUACCUUUAAAAUUAUUUUUUAACUUCCUUCAGAAUUCCAUGAUUUUAAUGAAAUUAAAGGUUAAAUAACCUAUAGUAUGAUCUUUAUAAGAUGUUUUACACAACUAUAAAACUGUGAUGAAAAUCAAAUAGAAAAUCCACACUGCCUUACGGUACAUUAUCAACACUAGACAGCAUCGAGAGCCUAUAUUGUACAACAAUUAAUAUUAUACUACAGCCUUCCAUCUAGACUAGUCACUCAACAUGUAUUAAAUAUUCAGUAUUCAUACAAACAUAUGCUCAAAAAUAUACAUAUGAAAUUAAAUUAAAACAUGCAUAUCAUUUGAUGUAGGAGACAACAAUGAGAUGAUGUAUUUGGUAUAAUCCGAUAUGGUAGUAAAAACCCCUACCAUAUUGGCUUGAUAUUCUCCACAAUAAUGUCAAUGGGUAUAAAAUGGGUGAUGGAAUUAAUCAGUGUACAGAGAAUUUGAUCUGUAGAUGAUGCCCUUGUAGAUUUCUGUGGUUAUCACUGAAUCUGCAGAAAAUAAAAAAACAAACAAACAACCGUAGUUAUCUUCCAUGUAAAAAAUAUGCAAAUAUUAAUUUUUGUAACAUGGCUAUUUUCUUCUUGAGCCAGCGUCAGUUCCAAAGUGGGUGGGUUGUUCAGAGGGGCACUACGCUUGAGCUUGGGUACCUAAGGUAUGCAGGGCGAUUAAUGAAAUUAAUAUAUACAUACAAACAGAAGAAAUUAAGCACAAUGAGCUCAGGCAUCACCAGUAAGUAUAUUUGAAGUUUCAUUAGCUGACUAGUUUUGCCUCUUGGUACAAGGCUUCAUCAGAACCAAGAGUAUGAUGAUUACUUACUGGUUAUUCAGUCCAGGUGAACAGUUGUAAUACGUAUAACUAACUGGUUAUUCAGUCCAGGUGAACAGUUGUAAUACGUAUAACUAACUGGUUAUUCAGUCCAGGUGAACAGUUGUAAUACGUAUAACUAACUGGUUAUUCAGUCCAGGUGAACAGUUGUAAUACGUAUAACUAACUGGUUAUUCAGUCCAGGUGAACAGUUGUAAUACGUAUAACUAACUGGUUAUUCAGUCCAGGUGAACAGUUGUAAUAUGUAUAACUAACUGGUUAUUCAGUCCAGGUGAACAGUUGUAAUACGUAUAACUAACUGGUUAUUCAGUCCAGGUGAGCAGUUGUAAUACGUAUAACUAACUGGUUAUUCAGUCCAGGUGAAUAGUUGUAAUAUGUAUAACUAACUGGUUAUUCAGUCCAGGUGAAUAGUUGUAAUACGUAUAACUAACUGGUUAUUCAGUCCAGGUGAGCAGUUGUAAUAUGUAUAACUAACUGGUUAUUCAGUCCAGGUGAAUAGUUGUAAUACGUAUAACUAACUGGUUAUUCAGUCCAGGUGAACAGUUGUAAUACGUAUAACUAACUGGUUAUUCAGUCCAGGUGAACAGUU